rnacentral:lncRNA from 1 species
GGCUCAGAUUUUCAGUCGUUGACUUCAGCAAGAGCUGCACUUCUCUUUACAAUUCUUCUCAGACUAAUUGAAGGGAAAAAAUCCAAACGUGUAGGAUGUGGGAGUCUGAUCUUACUAUGGAAAAAGGAAGAGACAUUGAUUCCUCUACUCCAUUGGCCACAAAGCCUAUUCUGGAUAGAGGAAUUGAGAUGUUGCUGAGCUUUCAUUUUAAUAGACAUGGGAGCAUCAAAAGGUAUUAUUUUCAGUAAUUCUCUAGGUGAGAUAGACCAGUUUGAAAAUGCUGACAGCUCUACAAGACUUUACUGCAUCCAGGACAAACAGCAAUGGAACGUUGGUCUGGAAGAAUGCAGGGAGUUGAAUUGGAAGUCAGCUGUUUUGGUGUUGACAAUGUCAAGGUGAAGCAGCAGUGUCCAUGUCCAGACAUUCUUUCAAUAGUGAUCCAGAAGUAAGAAGGCUCUGCACAAGCCACUGUACUCUCCUAAAAUCCUUCAGCAAGUUUUAAAAAAAUCACAGGUGUCUAAACACAGAUUUCACAUAUGGUGAAAUGGCUGUGUUCCAUGUAUCUGGAAGGCAGUGGCCGUUUGCAAGCAGGAUAUUCUUAUAGGGCC